GGUGUACACGCAACGGAAAGCGCUCCUUGUUAACCCUGUGUUUUUCAUGUUGUUUUAACAGGUUGUUCCUGUGUCCCAACUGAUGGUGCCAUCUUGGCUUUGUCUUGGCCAGAUGGACAUUUGGAGUCAUUAGGCUCAGGGUCAUAUCUCUUGCUGUUGGCAUGCUUGGGCGUGCCGUGCGGAUGGGACACCUGCCCGUUCUUCUCGUCUGAAAAGAGCUGUUUAAUUACGUCAAAGAAGUUACUCAAUGGGCUGCCUGGGUGCACAGAUGGGAGAAGAGGAGAAGAACAAGAAAACGAGAGAGAGAGACAGAGAAUAAAUACAUGAACAAUGAGGAUCACUGACGAGGCAAGGUGAGAUGAUGAGAGGCAGAAUGAGACUUCAUUAACUGGAGACAAUAAGCCAUGUAUUGGAACACACUGACACAAACAGCACACUUCUGCAGGCAUGUUCAACUGUUUGAAAGUACAGCUGUACCAUUGUUCAAA